AAAAUCCCCCCAACAAACCACACUGGCCCGUCCUCACAGCACAAGCAUCAACCUGUCCGUGUUGAAUAAUAUCUCAGCUACUACAUUAGAAAACUAGAGUUCAUUCCCUGGGCGUCUAUCCCUAGAAAAUGGACGGUGCAGAGCGAGGCCGAAGUGUGCAGGGUGGCAGCACGGCCACCAAGAAAAAGGACCUGUCACCACAGCCGGGGUGCACACAGGCGGUCAGAGGCGCACGUCAGCAUGAAGGCAUUAUGAAUGUUCUUUGGAGCAUGAACAAAAGUGCAGAGACAGACAGAGGCAGCCACACGUGGUGCAGCUGCAGCCACCGUCACGGCCAGGAACACAGGCUGUGGCAGCCGGGAGCGGGACACACGUGUGUUGAGCCGAUCCCAGGCAGGCGGACAGGCAGCAUCCAGAGGGACGACUGGUGUGUGACAACCCGUGAGACCCCCUCCUGUCCUGCACUCACCUCUGGAGCUGGUCCCUGCAGCCCCUCACCUGCCCAACCUAGAGUCAGGGUCUGGGGCAUUCAUGCCUGGCAAAGGUGGGGCACAAGGGUGACCUUGGUGAAUUUCGUCCACAUGCAUUAAGGCAACGACUUUGUAAAACCCAAUCAGAGUUGAUGUG